rnacentral:rRNA from 1 species
CCACUUUAAUUUGAUGGAUAAAAUAAACAUACAAUAUAUUCAAAUAUGGAAUUUAAAAGAGUGAUAGAAUUAUCCAGUUUAAAAUUUUAUAAAAAUAAGAAAUUUUAUUUUAGUUAAUUGUAUAUGUUUUGGUAAAUUAGGUGCCAGCAACCGCGGUCAUACCUGACAGACAUGUUUAUACAUCAAUAUUAAGUAUAUACUAGUUUAAUAAAAGUAACAUAUGUAGUGAAAUACUAUGCAAGGUGAUAGCUUAUAUAAACUUGAUUUCAUUACACCUAUGAUAAAAACUAGGAUUAGAGACCCUAUUAUUAUAGGCUUAUAAUAUUACUUAAUAAGUAUUAAUACUACAUAGUUCAAACUUAAAAAUUAUGGCGGCUAACCAAAACACUUAGGGGAACUUACCAUAUAAUUGAUAAUCACCAAGCAUUAAUCUACUUACCAUUAUAAUUUGUAUACCGUUGUCUUCAUGACCCUUUUGAGAAGAUUCAUGCUUAUACUUUUAAGAUUAUAAUUAGACAAAUCAAGGUGCAGUCCAUUAGUAAGAAUUAAGGUGAGUUACAAUAACUAACAGUUUCGAAAAUAACCAUGAAAUAUUUAUAGAAGAUGGACUUAAAAGUAAUAAAAAAAUUCAAAUAUAAAUUAUAAAUGUGUAUUGUUUAGUGUA